AUGCUUGCUCCGGCAGCACAUAUACUAAAAUUGGAAUGAUACAGAGAAGAUUAGCAUGACCCCAGCUCAAGGAUAACCCAAAUUCAUGAAGUGUUCCAUAUUUUU